GGCCAGGAGAAGGAAAGAGGGAGGAGGGAGAGAGAAGGCAACGUGACCCUCCUGCCAUUAUUGCCAGGCAUCGUUGCCAAAAUGCCACCACCGACCGCCCGCGACCUUCUCGCACCCCCAGCCCAAAAAUGGAACAGAAGAAAUUUCCCUCCCUGUGCUGUGAUAUUUCAGCGACUGGAGCAAGCAUCGGAUUCGGAUCGUCCAUGUUCCUUCACCAAGGACUUGUUUCAGUGACGGACUGAAAGAGAUUGGUCAGAUCAAGUGUACUCGAACAAAGCAAAUCCUUUCUCCAUUGACUUAAAAUUCUCUGAAGCAACUUAUGAUGGAGUUUAAGCCUUUUAUCAGAUUUAAGAAUAUGGAAUAAUUUUAUUUUAUUUAUUUCAGGAAGAAUAUGGAACAAUUUUAUCAGCCUACAACUUUGUUAGCUGACAUGGUGCUGACUUGGCAUGCAUGUAGGCUAUAAGUAAGAUUGGGAUUUGGAAGGAGCUCCAGUGGUUCUGGUAACAGCAUUCCUGCCUCAGGGCUACUAAAAAUUAAAAUUUCCCACGUGAUCAAUUCUGUCAAAAUCUCAGAUUCUGUCGUCUUGUGGACAUCAUCAAGAACAAACAUGAGACAGAGACAACGAAUGAGGCUGGGCAAGAACAUGAGGUGCGAGACCAAAUCAAACCGUGAGCGAGAUAUUAAUGAUUUCCCAUUUACGUUUUCCGUUGCUCGGCCACUUUUAUAUGUGCCAACGAGGCAGACAUUGACGGUGACUUGCAUAGGCGAGCAAAUCCCACCGAUUGGUACGUUCUUUAGUUAAAAUUGUUGCCCAUCUCAGGAACCGGAUGCCUAAAGGCAGUACCAUCAUCCUCAGUUGGAUACUCGUUUUCUUU